AGGUUCCCGUGCAAGCCGUAUACAGUACUUAUCAGGACAUACGUACUCAAUAAAAGGCCAUGAUGCAAAGCCAUCUUGAAAGGAGAAGACUUGAGCUGAAGUGACCGAGUUUGUUGUUGUUGUCGUCCAGCAAGUAAGCAAAGGAAGACCGAGUUGUGCCUUUCCGUAUUUGACAGUGAAGUAUACCGUAUACCACUUCUGUUCAUGGAUGGUUGUACUUCUCCGGUAUGUUAACCGUAUGCCACAACAUCCACGGAAGUUGCAUGUUAACCGUUUGAGCAUAUAUAUACAUUCAUAAAUUGCUUGAGAUGUUUGCUUCAUCCAUGGCAUGAUAGUUUGCGUUGAAUUGGCUGCAUGAGAGAAAGAAAUGGAUGUAACCUUGACUGUCUUAAUUAAUUGAGGUACUGGAAUGUUUGUUUGUCCACGUAAUAUAUCCUUCUCUGUUUGUUGCUUUUUAAAUAUCCUUCUCUAUUUGUUGUUUGCAUGCUUCUGCUUGAGCAUUUACAUUUAUGGAAGGAAUACCAAUUGGUACGUCCAUUUCUUAUUAGUCAUGAAGCAAGUCUUGAUAUACAAGGGACGGAGGAUCAUCAUGAGGACAAUGAGAGAGGAAGGAGAAACGGAUUAUGUUGCAGUUUAUAUAAACUUUCAUAUGCUGGAGCAUUCCGACAGGGGGAGAUAUUUAGUUUACCAUGUGGAAUAAUACUGCAUUAGGGGCUUGGUAUGGUAUUAAUUUUAAUCUGUACAAGAAAGGUGUGUUUUGUGAAAUUAUUAAGAUUUUAGACAACCAAAAGAUUGAAAAUUGGAUUUAGAUGUCAACUUCAAUACUGUAAAUUUGUAUACUGUAAAUUUGUAUUUAGCUGCACGAUUUAAGUUCUUGGUUAUGACCCAAUAACAACUGAUAAUAAUGAAAGGUAGCCAACAAAAUUAAU